rnacentral:rRNA from 1 species
AUUGAACGCUGGCGGCAUGCCUUACACAUGCAAGUCGAACGGCAGCACGGGAGCAAUCCUGGUGGCGAGUGGCGAACGGGUGAGUAAUAUAUCGGAACGUGCCCAGUCUGGGGGAUAACGUAGCGAAAGCUACGCUAAUACCGCAUACGAUCUAUGGAUGAAAGCGGGGGAUCGCAAGACCUCGCGCGAUUGGAGCGGCCGAUAUCAGAUUAGGUAGUUGGUGAGGUAAAGGCUCGCCAAGCCGACGAUCUGUAGCUGGUCUGAGAGGACGGACCAGCCACACUGGGACUGAGACACGGCCCAGACUCCUACGGGAGGCAGCAGUGGGGAAUUUUUGGACAAUGGGCGCAAGCCUGAUCCAGCAAUGCCGCGUGCAGGAUGAAGGCCUGGUGU